GCUGCUCCUUGAGGCUUUGCAAGUGAAGUUGCUCUGUGACAUGUGCUUUAGUAGGUGGCAGAGAGGAAAGAGGUCAUGCCUAUAUUUAGUGUUCUGAGCUGUGAACAUCUGAAUGAUUAGUAGCCUAACAUU